CCUACGGGAGGCAGCAGUGGGGAAUAUUGCACAAUGGGCGCAAGCCUGAUGCAGCGACGCCGCGUGAGGGAUGACGGCCUUCGGGUUGUAAACCUCUUUCAGUGGGGAAGAAGCGAAAGUGACGGUACCUGCAGAAGAAGCGCCGGCUAACUACGUGCCAGCAGCCGCGGUAAU
rnacentral:rRNA from 1 species